UGGGGAAUCUUGGACAAUGGGGGCAACCCUGAUCCAGCCAUGCCGCGUGAGUGAUGAAGGCCUUAGGGUCGUAAAGCUCUUUCGCCUGUGAAGAUAAUGACGGUAACCACAGAAGAAGCCCCGGCUAACUCCGUGCCAGCAGCCGCGGUAAGACGGAGGGGGCUAGCGUUGUUCGGAAUUACUGGGCGUAAAGGGCGUGUAGGCGGAUCGGUCAGUCAGUGGUGAAAGCCCCGGGCUCAACCUGGGAAUUGCCUCUGAUACUGCCGAUCUAGAGUCCGGGAGAGGGUAGUGGAAUUCCCAGUGUAGAGGUGAAAUUCGUAGAUAUUGGGAACGAACACCAGUGGCGAAGGCAGGCUACCUGGACCGGUACUGACGCUGAGGCGCG
rnacentral:rRNA from 1 species